CUUAGAAUAAAAGAGUCUGUUUACUUGCUGAUGAAGAUCAUAAACCAAAAAGCUCUGAUUUCAUCUUAUUACAGAAGAAUGGCUACUUCUAUCACCAUGGAGGCUUUGCUGUCAUUGCCAAAAGCAUUUGGACCACUCAGAACUUGCUUUUGAAAAAUUUAUGAGAACCAUCAAAAUGCAUAGGAGGUGCAUCCUUGCAUUGCAGAAUGAAUACAGUUCCGGUGAGCCAGUCCUUCAGAGAUGCUUCUACUCCUUCUGUGGUUCCCAGAGAAAAGGAAGGACUUCUCCACCAUGACCCAGAACCUCAUUAUUGGAAAAGGCUCAUCAUUCUGCAACAGCCUAUCAGCCUUGGUACUCUACCUCAUCCUGACAUACUGUCCAUCUGAUUGGAGGGUAGACCCGGGAUCUCUAAAACGUCCAUUUAAGAGAGAUCAAGCUCUGAGACUUUCUGAAGAGGAUCAUCCUUCCUCACGAAGUCAAGAAGGAAUUAUAUACUGGAUGUUCAUGGCCACUCCUUAAGAAGUUCUCCUGACAAAAUUAAGAUGACAAUUGAAUUUCUUCUCAAGAAGAAUGACUUUUAUG
rnacentral:lncRNA from 1 species